GAGAACCAAGAGAUCCAUUGUUGAAAGUUUUGAAGKUGUUUUUUACUAAAAGAAAUCUUGUGUUGACUGAAUUAGUUAAAAUAAAAAAAUAUUUGUUUGUGUUUGCAUCCACUGGGAGAACUCCCUCCCGAAAGAGAGCUUUCCCCCAACGAACAAAAGAAUAGUAGUAAAGUAAACUCCACUGUGUGUAGUAAUUAGAAAGUGUCGAGUCGUGUGAUAAAACACCUCCUUUGGAAUAGAGAGAUCCACGCACACUCCCAGGUCUUUGUCGGCUCCCUCCCCCCACUGCAGAACACCCACCAACCGCGCACUUAAGCGCAGGCAGGAGAAAUAGCAUUCACAGCAGAGAAAAUAUUUUAGGUGCCUCCUGAGUGUCUACACUGGUCCUCCCCAGAGAUGUCUCUCUCCGAGCUCAGACAAAUCAAUUAAAUUUCUUUAAUGAUCCUU
rnacentral:misc_RNA from 1 species